rfam:Loxodonta africana unplaced genomic scaffold scaffold_44, whole genome shotgun sequence.
CCAAAGGCUCUUUUCAGAGCCACCUACAUUUCCUAAAAAGCUGUGG